rnacentral:rRNA from 1 species
AUUGAACGCUGGCGGCAUGCUUUACACAUGCAGGUCGAGCGGCAGCGCGGGGCUUGGGCAACCGAGCUUUGGCGGCGAGCGGCGAACGGGUGAGUAAUGCAUCGGAACGUAUCCUGUAGUGGGGGAUAACCGGCGAAGCCGGGCGUAAUACCGCAUAUGCUCUUUGGAGGAAAGCGGGGGACGUCAACAGGCAACUGAGGAGCCUUGUGCUAGAGGAGCGGCCGAUGUCC